rnacentral:rRNA from 1 species
UACGUAGGGACCAAGCGUUGGUCGGAUUUACUGGGCGUAAAGGGCGCGUAGGCGGCUUAACAAGUCACUUGUGAAAUCUCCGGGCUUAACUCGGAACGGCCAAGUGAAACUGUCAAGCUAGAGUGCAGAAGGGGCAAUCGGAAUUCUUGGUGUAGCGGUGAAAUGCGUAGAUAUCAAGAGGAACACCUGAGGUGAAGACGGGUUGCUGGGCUGACACUGACGCUGAGGCGCGAAAGCCAGGGGAGCAAACAGG